GACGAACGCUGGCGGCGUGCUUAACACAUGCAAGUCGAGCGGUAAGGCCCUUUCGGGGGUACGACGAGCGGCGAACGGGUGAGUAACACGUGGGUGACCUGCCCUUAGCUCUGGGAUAAGCCUGGGAAACUGGGUCUAAUACCGGAUAUGACUCCAUGACGCAUGUUGUGGGGUGGAAAGCCUUGUGCGGCUAGGGAUGGGCCCGCGGCCUAUCAGCUUGUUGGUGGGGUGAUGGCCACCAAGGCGACGACGGUAGCCGGCCUGAGAGGGCGACCGGCCACACUGGGGACUGAGACACGGCCCAGACUCCUACGGGAGGCAGCAGUGGGGAAUCUUGCGCAAUGGGCGAAAGCCUGACGCAGCGACGCCGCGU
rnacentral:rRNA from 1 species